GCGAGUUACGAUCUGAUGCAAGGUUAAGCAGAAAAUGUGGAGCCGUAGCGAAAGCGAGUCUGAAUAGGGCGAAUGAGUAUUUGGUCGUAGACCCGAAACCAGGUGAUCUACCCUUGGUCAGGUUGAAGUUCAGGUAACACUGAAUGGAGGACCGAACCGACUUACGUUGAAAAGUGAGCGGAUGAACUGAGGGUAGCGGAGAAAUUCCAAUCGAACUUGGAGAUAGCUGGUUCUCUCCGAAAUAGCUUUAGGGCUAGCCUCAAGUGAUGAUUAUUGGAGGUAGAGCACUGUUUGGACGAGGGGCCCCUCUCGGGUUACCGAAUUCAGACAAACUCCGAAUGCCAAAUAAUUUAACUUGGGAGUCAGAAUGUGGGUGAUAAGGUCCAUAUUCGAAAGGGAAACAGCCCAGACCACCAGCUAAGGUCCCAAAAUAUAUGUUAAGUGGAAAAGGAUGUGGCGUUGCCCAGACAACUAGGAUGUUGGCUUAGAAGCAGCCAUCAUUUAAAGAGUGCGUAAUAGCUCACUAGUCGAGUGACACUGCGCCGAAAAUGUACCGGGGCUAAACAUAU
rnacentral:rRNA from 1 species